AUAAACUAGUUAGAAAACUUAUACCUUACUUAGCCUAAGAUGAUUGACUUCAAUUGCAAUGGCUUGACUAUCUAUCUUAAAGUGAAUAUUUUUUCCUCAUAUUUUGGUCAAAGUUUUUUACUUUUUUUGUUCGUUUAGUUAGAGGAAUUGGAGACAUUAAAAGAAAAUUAUAUUUACAAAAAAGUCACUAAAAGCAGAAUCAAUACAUAGCCAAAUUGGUAUUUGGAUUAACGUUGCCCUUUUUUUUUUGUAGAGAUAGUUUUUCAUUCUUUCAUUUUCUAAUUCCUCUAAUUAGGAUAAAUCGAAAAGAUAAAGAAAUCUGACCACAAUUUAAAAUAAAUUCACUAAAGAUGAAAAUAAACUAGUUAGAAAACUUAUACCUUACUUAGCCUAAGAGGAUUGACUUCAAUUGCAAUGGCUUGACUAUCUAUGCCAUUUUUAAUAUGGGAGAACCCUUCUUGGCAUGUGCCAGUUUUUUGAAGCUAUGUAUUUUUUUGUUGUCAAAACUGUCCUCAUAAAACUUAUUUUUUUACUUAUAAGUCGGGGGCAAAAAUGACAACUCCAUUUUCAGAUAUAUAAAAAUGCACACAGUGUGUGUGACACCCUUCUAGUAUCAUUUUAAAUUGAUGGGGCUGAAGUGGGAUUUAGCACAGUGUACAGGGGAUGAAAGUGUAAUUUACCCUUGAUUAUUUUGUGGAUUCGAAAAGCCUUUUCACUUUAUGGGUUAUGAUUAAAAUGUAGUUUAAAAUUGAUGAAGAUUGAGAAGAAAAAUUGGGGUGGUUGGAUGGUGGGGCCAAGGUAAGUUAUGAUUGAUAAUUGAUGCCACAUGGAUAUGAUCACAAACUUAGUUUUCAGUUUUUGUCCAUUUCUUCUACUUUCUACUUUGGGCCUUUUUUUGUUUCUAUAGGAUGCUGCUCU
rnacentral:lncRNA from 1 species